GGGGAGGACAGGGGUAAGGGAGACAGGGAGAAAGGGGGUAGGAGAAAGGAGAAAGGGGGAGGGAGAAAGGAGAAAGGGGGUAGGAGAAAGGAGAGGAAGGCUGGGAGAAAGGAGAAAAAGUUGGAGAAAGGAGAAAAAAUAAAAUAUCUCUCCUUUUAAGAAAUGAUCGAAUAUUUCAAGAAAAAAUAUCAAAACAUUAUCUUUUAAUCGAAUUUCAAUUUAAAAGUGAUACCGAUAGCUUAAAUGAUCAAUCUAGUAUGAAUUAUACGUUCCAUUAGAUUAACACUAGUCCGAGAUUACUCUGACGUCCAACGGCUGUUUUGCCAGACAAGCUGGGGCCGUGUCUGGCAAAACAGCCGUUGGACGUCAGAGUAAACUAGAUUAAAUCCGGAUUUUAACUCAACGUUUGAUUACGUUUUGACUUCGUUACUUACAAUUUUACGUUGAACGUUAUAAAAAGGAAAUUUUAGAUUUAGAGAUGGAACAUUUUGAUAGCAAUAAACUAGGGGUUGAUGGUGCAACUGAAAAACUAAACAAAAUUUUACAAACUAUUGCAGAAAAUACAUGUAAAGUCAUAUCUAAACCAACAAAAAAGAAAAAGAAAAAAAUUAAACAAGUAUGGUCAGAUAAUGUAGUAUAUGAAACAAAAAGACAAAUAAACUAUUUAGGAAAUAAAAUCAAGAAUAACUUAAAUGACAAAAGUUUAAAAUCUAAAUAUUUUGAAUUAUGUAAAAAACUAAAAAAAAUGAUUAAACAGAAAAAAUUUGAAUAUCACCAAAAACUUUAUAAAUCACUUUCAGAUAAUUUAAAAAAUAAUCCAAAAGAAUACUGGAAUGUUCUAAAGGCAAUAAAAAAGAAACCAAAUAUUGAAGAAGAUAUUCCUGAAAUUUUAAUGAAUGAAAAUAAAAUCAUAAAACAUUUUCAGGAUCAGGGUACACCAGCCUCAUAUGAUAAAUCCUUUGUAAAUAAACUGGAACGUGAACUAAACAUUAUAGAAGAUAAUAUUGAAUUGAAUAUGGAAACUGAUGCACCAAUUACAUUUGCUGAAGUAAAACUGGUCAUUUCAAACCUUAAAGUAAACAAAUCAGCAGGUCCAGAUAGAAUUGUGAAUGAAAUACUCAAACACUCACAACCUGUGAUAAUUAAUUCUAUUGUAAAAGUUUUUAAUUUGAUUUUAAAGACAGGUAAUUAUCCAGAUUCUUGGAAAUUAUCUUUCAUGAUCCCUUUACAUAAAAAAGGUGACAAGUUAGACCCUAAUAAUUAUAGAGGCAUUUCUCUUAUAAGUAAUCUACCAAAAAUUUUUAAUGCCAUAUUAAAUAAUAGGCUAAUCAAGAUUGUUGACAAACAAUUAAGUGAUUGUCAGUUUGGUUUCAGAGAAAAUCACAGAACAGCUGAUAGCAUCUUUUUAUUAAAGUCCUUGAUUAAUAAAUAUUUACAUAAAGAGAAAAAAAAGAUUUAUGCCUGCUUCAUAGAUCUGAAAAAGGCUUUUGAUUCAGUAUGGAGAACUGCUUUACUUUAUAAAUUAUGUAAAAUGGGAGUUGGCAAGUCUUUUUAUAGAGUUAUAAAACAACAAUACUUAAAUACUAAAUCAUCUUUAAAAUAUAAAGAUUAUGUAUCAGAAUAUUUUAAUAUUGCUAGAGGGGUUAAACAGGGAGACACACUAAGUCCCACUUUAUUUAAUGUCUUUAUAAAUGAUAUUGUAAAAAAAUUUUGAGGGAAAUGAUUCAAGUCCCCUUAAACUUAUAAAUAGUAAGGUAGGAUGCCUUCUUUUUGCGGAUGAUCUUUUAAUCCUGUCAGAAUCAAAAGAGGGUCUACAAAACAGUUUAAAUAACGUUAAAUUAUAUUGUAACAAAUGGCAACUCUCUUUGAAUACAAACAAAACUAAAUCCAUGAUUUUUAGUCAGUCAAAAACAUAAAAAGUGAAACAUCACAUAUUUACUAUGAGAAUAAAGCCAUAGAGAGUGUAACAGAAUAUUCAUUUUUGGGAAUGUUGAUAAAAUGUAAUGGAAAUUUAUCACAAAGUACUUUAGAGCUGACAAAAAAAGCAAAAAAAGUAUUUUUUGCAAUAAAAUCAUAUACUAAAUCAUUGAAUAAUCUACCUAUAAAAGUAGCAAAUAAUCUUUUUGAUUCUUUAGUAAAACCAAUUAUGACCUAUAAUUCAGAAGUAACAUAUUUGGAUACAUAUAUUUCUUUUCAUCGAGCCAAAAGCAGAGCCUUAACUUCAGGAAAAGAAAUUAAUCAACUUGAUUUUAUAGACAAAACCCCCAUAGAAAAUAUGCAUCUUAAAUUUUGUAAAUCUACUCUAGGGAUAAGAAAAAAUGCAUCCAAUUUAGGAGCAAGAGUUGAAUUAGGAAGAUUGCCUAUAGAAUGUUUUAUUAAAACACAAACCCUUUUAUAUUUAGCUAGACUAUAUAAUAAUAAUAUUAAUCCAUUGUUAAAGGAAGCUUUUUCUCUAGCACAGUCUCUAGAUUUGACAGGAACUUACUCAUGGUAUACAUAUGCUAAAAAUAUUGUUAAAGAGACUAACGUUGACCUUAAUAUUCUUUCUACUUGUAAGGACAUAAAAGAUGUAAAUAAAAUAAAAAACGAUAUAAAGUUAAAAAUGAAAAAUAGAUAUGAAGAUUUAAUUCAAAAUAAAUUUCAAAACAUCGAUGAUAAAAGUAAAUUUUUUCUCUAUAAAAAACUUAAAAAAGAUUACAAACUAGAAUAUUAUCUAAAUACAUCUAAUUUUCAGAUAAGGAGAUUAAUCACUAAAUUUAGAAUAAGUGAUCACUCCCUCUUGAUUGAAAAGGAGAGAUAUUUUAAAAUCCCAAGAGAGGAACGUCUUUGCCAUAAAUGUAAAAUACUAGAGGAUGAGAAACAUUUUUUACUAUAUUGUGAGUAUAAUAAAACUCUAAGAAAUGAAUUUUUUCAUCACAUAUGUACAGAAAAUAAUAACUUUAAUAAUUUAAAUGAAGAAGAAAAAAUUCAUUAUUUACUAAAUCCAUCAUCGCCUUUACAAACAAAUAAGUUAGGAUCCUUCUUGAAAAAGUCAUUAGAACUGAGGGCAGGGGACUCUUAACAACUUGUUUGUUGUUAUAAAUUUUAAUGCUGUUGAUAUUUUGUAUGUUUAAUAUGUAUGUAUAUAUGUUUAUUGUGUUUAUUGUAUUAAUAUAUGUUGG
rnacentral:lncRNA from 1 species